rnacentral:rRNA from 1 species
CCUACGGGAGGCAGCAGUAAGGAAUAUUGCUCAAUGGGGGAAACCCUGAAGCAGCAACGCCGCGUGGGGGAUGAAGGUUUUCUGAUUUUAAACUCUUUUUGUUAGAGAAGCUAAUGACGGUAUCUAACGAAUAAGCACCGGCUAACUCCGAGCCAGCAGCCGCUGUAAUACGGAGGGUGCAAGCGUUACUCGGAAUAACUGGGCGUAAAGAGCGCGUAGGCGGGUUAGCAAGUCAGAUGUGAAAUCCUAUGGGGUAACCAUAGAUCUGCCGUUGAAACUGUCAUUCUAGAGUAGGAGAGAGGGAUGUGGAAUGCGUGGUGUAGCGGUGAAAUGCAUAGAUAUCAAGAAGAACACCCAUUGCGAAGGCGGCCUGCUAGCACAUAACUGACGCGGAUGCGCGAAAGCGUGGGGAGCGAACAGGAUUAGAUACCCUAGUAGUC